rnacentral:rRNA from 1 species
AGUCGAGCGGCAGCGCGGGGGCAACCCUGGCGGCGAGCGGCGAACGGGUGAGUAACAUAUCGGAACGUACCCUGUCGUGGGGGAUAACACAGCGAAAGCUGUGCUAAUACCGCAUACGACCUGAGGGUGAAAGCGGGGGACCGUAAGGCCUCGCGCGAUAGGAGCGGCCGAUAUCGGAUUAGCUUGUUGGUGAGGUAAAGGCUCACCAAGGCGACGAUCCGUAGCGGGUCUGAGAGGACGACCCGCCACACUGGAACUGAGACACGGUCCAGACUCCUACGGGAGGCAGCAGUGGGGAAUUUUGGACAAUGGGGGCAACCCUGAUCCAGCCAUUCCGCGUGAGUGAAGAAGGCCUUCGGGUUGUAAAGCUCUUUCAGCAGGAACGAAACGGUGGUCCUUAAUACGGGCUACUAAUGACGGUACCUGAAGAAGAAGCACCGGCUAACUACGUGCCAGCAGCCGCGGUAAUACGUAGGGUGCGAGCGUUAAUCGGAAUUACUGGGCGUAAAGCGUGCGCAGGCGGUUAUAUAAGACAGAUGUGAAAUCCCCGGGCUCAACCUGGGAACUGCGUUUGUGACUGUAUAACUUGAGUGUGGCAGAGGGGGGUGGAAUUCCACGUGUAGCAGUGAAAUGCGUAGAGAUGUGGAGGAACACCGAUGGCGAAGGCAGCCCCCUGGGUCAACACUGACGCUCAUGCACGAAAGCGUGGGGAGCAAACAGGAUUAGAUACCCUGGUAGUCCACGCCCUAAACGAUGCGAACUAGUGUUGGGGAAGGAGACUUUCUUAGUACCGCAGCUAACGCGUGAAGUUCGCCGCCUGGGGAGUACGG